rnacentral:rRNA from 2 species
UGGGGAAUAUUGGGCAAUGGGGGAAACCCUGACCCAGCAACGCCGCGUGAAGGAAGAAGGUCUUCGGAUUGUAAACUUCUGUCCCAAGGGAAGAAAUAAAUGACGGUACCUUGGGAGGAAGCCCCGGCUAACUACGUGCCAGCAGCCGCGGUAAUACGUAGGGGGCAAGCGUUGUCCGGAAUUAUUGGGCGUAAAGGGUGCGUAGGCGGCAUUUUAAGUUGGAUGUGAAAGCCCCGUGCUUAACAUGGGAACUGCAUUCAAAACUGGAGUGCUUGAGUAUGGAAGAGGCAAGUGGAAUUCCCGGUGUAGCGGUGGAAUGCGUAGAGAUCGGGAGGAACACCAGUGGCGAAGGCGGCUUGCUGGGCCAUAACUGACGCUGAGGCACGAAAGCGUGGGGAGCAAACAGG